rnacentral:lncRNA from 1 species
AUGGGGCUGAUUACAAGUAACCGGGAGCCUGCAGCCUCUGGGCCUUUUUGUUCAUUCUGGAGUGUCUUGUCACAUGACCUGCGACUGGCAGAUAUGUGUGUGUGGACCUGCGCACCUGUGUGUGUGCGUGUGUCUGCGUGUGUCCUGUGGGCAUGUGUGUACCCAUGUCCCUGUGAGUCUGUGCAUGCCCAUGUGUGCACAUGUCUCUGUGUAUGUCUGUGUGUGUACUGUGGAUGUGUGUGUACCCAUGUCCCUGCCUGUCUGUGCAUGCAUGUGUGUGCAUCUGUGUGUGUACUGUGGGUGUGCACGUACCCAUGUCCCUGCGUGUCUGUGCAUACAUGUGUGUGCAUCUGUGUAUGUACUGUGGGUGUGCACAUACCCAUGUCCCUGCGUGUCUGUGCAUACAUGUGUGUGCAUCUGUGUAUGUACUGUGGGUGUGCACAUACCCAUGUCCCUGCAUGUCUGUGUGUGCCCAUGUGUGCUUGCAUGUGUGUGCAUUUGUGUGCAUCUGUGGGUGUGCACGUACCCAUGUCCCUGCAUGUCUAUGCAUGCAUGUGUCUGCAUCUGUGUGUGUACUGUGGGUGUGCACGUGCCCAUGUCCCUGCAUGCUGUGCAUGCAUGUGUCUGCAUCUGUGUGCAUCUGUGAGUGUGCACAUACCCAUGUCCCUGCAUGUCUGUGCAUGCAUGUGUGUGCAUCUGUGUGCAUCUGUGAGUGUGCACGUACCCAUGUCCCUGCAUGUCUAUGCAUGCAUGUGUGUGCAUCUGUGUGCAUCUGUGGGUGUGCACGUACCCAUGUCCCUGCAUGUCUAUGCAUGCAUGUGUCUGCAUCUGUGUGCAUCUGUGGGUGUGCACGUACCCAUGUCCCUGCAUGUCUAUGCAUGCAUGUGUCUGCAUCUGUGUGCAUCUGUGAGUGUGCACAUGCCCAUGUCCCCGUGUGUUGCGUGUGCCCGUGUGUGCGUGUGUGCGCGUGUGUUGACCGGCUCGGGCGGCCCCCAGGUCGCUGACGGCCAAGCGGCACCAGCGAGCUGCCGGGCAGGUGGUCAGGACACGCGAUGCACGAGCCACAUGCACAUGGCCACACUCGCGCACCCUCUCUUGCACGUUCCCGCGCCCCUGGGCUGCUGCUGCUGUGUCCAGCCGCCAGGUCUAACUGACCCACGUCCAGGCCCCUCCGUUCCGCCCCGACGUGGCCGCCCUCGGGGAGCCCCCGGCUACAGCCCACGGGUGCGGGGGACCGGCUCCGAACCCCGCGGGGCAGGGGACCCCUGGCCUCCCAGCCUCUCGGGGCAGGAGCACAUCUCUGCGGGGGCCCCCCACCGUCAGGCCGGGCAGACCCACUACUGCGCACCCAGUCCUCGGCCCCUCCCUCAGCCCGCCCCGCCCCGCGCGUACCCCCGGGUUAGGACCCACCUGCUGCGCCCCAAGCAGCCCCCUCGUCUCCGGCUCCGCUAA